GCCCGGGUAGCGCAAUGGCAACGCGUUGCCCUCCUAGGUUCUAGUCAGGCAAAGAUUGCACAUUCGAUCCCCGUCUCGGAUG